AAUAUUGGACAAUGGGCGCAAGCCUGAUCCGGCCAUGCCGCGUGAGUGAUGAAGGCCCUAGGGUUGUAAAGCUCUUCCACCGGUGAAGAUAAUGACGGUAACCGGAGGAGAAGCCGCGGCUAACUUCGUGCCAGAAGCCGCGGUAAUACGAAGGGGGCUAGCGUUGUUCGGAAUUACUGGGCGUAAGGCGCACGUAGUCGGAUCGGUCAGUUAGGGGUGAAAUCCCGGGGCUCAACCCCGGAACUGCCUUUAAUACUGCCGGUCUAGAGUCCGAGAGAGGUGAGUGGAAUUCCGAGUGUAGAGGUGAAAUUCGUAGAUAUUCGGAGGAACACCAGUGGCGAAGGCGGCUCACUGGCUCGGUACUGACGCUGAGGUGCGAAAGCGUGGGGAGCAAACAG
rnacentral:rRNA from 1 species